UUCCUGUAGCUCAGUGGUUAGAGCACUUGCCUAGCAAGCAAGAGAUCUUGGUUCGAUUCCUGGCAGGACGAAA